rnacentral:rRNA from 1 species
UACGUAGGGUGCGAGCGUUGUCCGGAAUUAUUGGGCGUAAAGGGCUCGUAGGCGGUUUGUCGCGUCGGGAGUGAAAACCUCGGGCUUAACUCGGGGCUUGCUUUCGAUACGGGCAGACUGGAGGUAUGCAGGGGAGAACGGAAUUCCUGGUGUAGCGGUGAAAUGCGUAGAUAUCGAGAGGAACACCUGCGGCGAAGGCGGGUUGCUGGGCUGACACUGACGCUGAGGCGCGAAAGCCAGGGGAGCGAACGGG